rnacentral:lncRNA from 1 species
UCAGCCCUGACAAUGGCGUGCGGCGCUACCGCCUAGCGGCAUUAUCCCGCUUGUGGCUUUGUCAACCCUAGUGAUUUGACGGCCCCAUGGCGAUUUGACACCUUUACGGCGAUUCUGACAUUCUACAGUGAAUUGACAAUUCUCCAAUUGUCCGCGCCAUUAAUGACGGCGCCAUACCGUGCUCCACUAUAUAUAUCGGGGAAGGCA